UCAGUCACAAUUUACCCGUGAUACAUUGUGGUUUUGAUCCUCUCGAACACGUCCAUGUAUAGCUACAUCACAAAAUAACAUCAGACUUUUCGGGAGGGAAACAGUAGAUGGUGGUUGGAAGAGCCAGUUAAAUGGCAUCCCUUGAGAGGACAAGAACAAGAUGUAUGUCAGGAUGAAAAGUGCAGUAUUAUCACAAGGAAAGGUAUACUUGAAAUACGGGGGAGGAUUAGAGGGAAAAAGAGAGGAAGAUGAGGUCUAGGAGAGAGAAGGAGGAAAAGGGUGUUUGAGUCGGUUAGAAAUGGUGGACGGGAAAAAAAGAUGGUUUGUUUGUUAAAGAAGAAUGGUAGAAAGUGUAAGCAGAGUGAGCUGUACGCCGUAUAGAAGACAGGAGGAGAAAUGGAAGUGAAUGAGGGCGAAGUAUCGGAGGUGGUAGGUGCGAUAAAGUCAUCGGAGAUCGAUGUAUGCACCGAGGAUCAGGAUGAAGAAGAAUCUGUGACAGUAGGAGUGAAGUUUAUGGAGAAAGUGAACUCUUGCCUUUUGGCUGAUCCAUUUGUGGUUUCACGAGGAAGAAUACGCUUGAAGUAAAACGAAUGGGGGUAAGUAAAAUGAAUUGUUUCGUUCUCAAGAAAAAGGCACCAAUGAAAGGAGAUAUAACUGGGGUAGCAGUAGAUAUAAACGUUGACUAGCUUAGGGGAAAGACUCCCGGUGUAAGUGAUGCUCGGCGUUUGAUGUGACGCAGACAGGGUGGGGAAACAGAAGAGUCAGUCUGUUUUGAGUUUUGAAGCUGAGUCUGCCUGAUAACGUGAAGUUAGGAUAUAUAAGUUAUCCUGUACGAGCGUAUGUGCCGAAUAUGUUAAAAUGUUACAGGUGUCAAGCUUAUGGGCAUGUGGCAGCAGUGUGUAGGAGGGAGGGUCCAAGGUGUGAGAAAUGUGCAGAAGGGCACGAGACAAAGGAAUGUGUAGUAUUGGGGAAAGUAGUGGUAUGUGUUAAUUGUAGGGGUGCCCAUGGGGCUGGGGAUCAGAAAUGUCCCGUGCUAGAGAAGCAGGUUCAGGUUGAGGUUUCUGGAGUAGAGCAGAAGUCAUAUGCUGAGGCAGUGGAGAAAGUAGAGGAAGAUGGGUUAAGGGGGUGAGAGUAGUAGAGAUAUACCAGUACAGAGGGAUAGGCCAAAAAGUGAAAUAAGUUUCAGUAAGAUUGGAUUUAUAGCAAUGGUUAUUAAUUGUACUGCAGGAAUAGAUCAGAAGUCUCAGAAAAUGUAGGUUGUGGUGCAGAGGCAUUUGGGUGUGCAGGACUUGACAGCAGGAGAGUUACAGGAUGUGGUGAUGUCCCAUCAUUUUAGGGUGAUGGCAUGAGGUAGGAAUAAAUACAUUUAAUUAGUGGGGUUGGGAGGUGUUCAUUUUAUUUUAUAUCAUUUUGAAAUUAGUGAAUAUAGUGUUAGAUGGUAGGGUAUUUAUUUAGUACAUUUUUCUAUUUUAAGUAAAGUAUAAGGUCUAGUAGGUGGCAGUAAUGCAACAAAUUGGAUGCCAACCGCUGCCUUUUGCUACAAUCAUUAUUUAGUUUUCUAAGGACCCAUAAAACAGGCAGUGGGAGAAGCUAUUCAAGUAAGUAAAAAUGUCGCUAGUUAGUUACCUUUACAUAUCACCAGCUUGCUAACUUCAUAUUAGCUAUCUUGAUGUACUUUAUUUAUCGUUGUAACACCAAAUGCAUUUGUAGCUAGGUAGGUAACGUUAGCUAGCUAACAGCCAUGGAAGAGGGUGAAUGGAUUAGCUAGCACUUCCAGGUGUCAGAGAAGGGAGGGUAGGCUACUCGGGAUAGGGAAGUUCCUGUCCCUAGCGAGAAACUGAGGACAGAGUGAUAUAGCAACGUAAUAUUAAGGGCUGUCUAACUUGAGUAUAAUGGAAAGGAAAAAAUGCAGCCUGUUUCCUAGUGAUGUUUUCUGUCUUCAGAUACAGAGAGCCUGUCUGCAGAUGAAGAGGUCUCAGUGAAUGUCCCUGGAGAGUAAGGGUAUACACUUUUAAAAGUCACACAAUGUGUAAACCUAUUACAACUGGAGCAGACCAACCCUGCUGGGUGUGCACGCUUCUGUUUUAGCCCAGCACUAAAACACCUGAUUCAAUAUAUCAAGCCUAAUUAGUUAAGCCUAGUCUGCCUAGUCUGCUCACCCAGUAGAUCAGGGAUCAGUGGCUCAAGGUUGGCCACCACUGCUAUUGGCUUUUUUUGGUUCACCGGAAAUUGUUUUGGUAAUAAUAGCCUACUUGUUACUAAAAUGUCUAACCUUUACAUAUGUGUUAGCUUACUUAUACACAUUGAAAUUAUAUGAAAUUGUUGAUUCUUUGAAGUUGUAUUUAAACUUGUUUUAAUUGUUAACUAUUAUUCAAGAUUAACUAGUGUUGAUGUUGAUUAAUCACAGAUCACAUUCCUGCAAUAAAGAGGGGAAGGGAA